ACGCGCUUUCCUCGAAUUUCCCAAAUUUGGACAAAAUGGAGGUGCAAGCCGUGCAAUUGGAAAACAGUCGGUCUCUCUUCCCUCUCUCUCACUCGGUCUCUCUCUUUCUCUCUGUCACAAAAUUGCAGAGGCCGAACGAAACCCUAAAUACCAGGUAAGUCGUCCUCUCCUUCCAUCUCCCCAAGCUCUCUCGCACGGCCUCUCACCAGUCACUGCUCACCAAGUCGCCAAUCACCAUCGUUUUCCCCCUCCAGUCGCGUCCUCCACCACCAAACUCCCAUUCGCGUCGUCCUCCAUCGGUUUUCUUUCUCUCACCAUCGUCCUGCACCACUAGCUGCUAAGUGCUUACUUCGCCACUCCAAUCUUAAGGAAAUAUAGGUUUUGGCCAACUGGUUUCCGUUGCUAUAGCCUGCCUAUAUUUUCACUGUGUGUUGAUUACCACGUGAUUUCCAUUCAAAAUCAAGCUACCCAGAAAGAUGUGUUCCAGUUGUUUGCUGAGAAGGUGAGAGACAAUAAGGAUUUAGUGUCUAGGUGGGCUGUUCUACAGGAGCCACAUGUGGAAUAUUUCAGGGGAGCUAAUCUCUUAAUUGUUCUUGUACAAUUAGCUUGCUGCCCUUGCAGUUGCAGGCUCUGCCCUUUAGUUUUUUCGUUUCAUCUUGGGAACCACUUAAGGACCAAGUAUUUUCUGAGAACGAUGCCUUCUCUGCAUGGACUUUUGUAAAACGAAGGCCUCUCUGGCAAACACUUCUUUCAUUUGUCUGGCCGGUGGUUACAUUGGCAAUAUGCUUGUUUCCUGUAUAUCCGCAUUGGUGCAAGCUACUAAUACUCUACUCAUGUCCCGGGGUCCUGCUACUUUUUUUUUUAUCUACUAGUUUGAAAGUUCUGAACUUCUGGUCAUUUGUUUUUAGUUUAAAAUAUUAUUAGGAACUUUACAUUCUCUUAAGUCUUAUUGGUUUACAGUGAUGUGGAUAUUAGAGUAUAAAUUAUGUUCAUACCACCCCUAUUCAAAAUGAUCACUAUUUUAUUACACUUACUGCUGUGUUGGAUAUAGCGACAAUUUUGCACAUUAGUGAUGUGGUGGACAGCAAUGUGCCUUGCAAUUGACAUAUCGAAUUUCAGGGUAUCAGAAGGUAGCUAAAGGGAAAUUUAGUCUCUAGGCUCUUAUUUUUACUCAAGUACUCAAUUUCUCUCCCUCUUUCUGUCCCUAUUCAAUGUUGUCUCUGUAAUUUCUUGAACCAUUGGUUUUUAAAUAAUCUUGUAUUGAAAUAUCAUUUCUCUAAUUAAACGGGUGUAGUUAUUUUUUGAACAUCAUAUUUAAUUGGGUUAAUGUGCAUGAACUUUUCAAGCAAUUUAUUAGUGAAUUUUGUAAAUAUUGUGAAGUUCUGGAUGUAUUUUGUAAGGGGUGUUGAUUUGGAUGAAGGGGUAGGGCAAUUGUGAGUAAGUUUGCGUAGCUUGGAGAUCCUGAGUAUAAUCCGCCUGUCCAAAAGGGCGAACUCCUAUAAGUUUUUUACUUGAAUCACUUGUAUGAGGACUUAGCGUUAUAAAUCUUUGUUUGUAGUGACAUUUAUUUGUUUUGCUUUGUGGGAUUCAGACACAAAGUAGGGCUUGAAUACACCAGUUAAGGCUUUGUAGAAGUUGAAUGGUUGUGCAAGCUGUUCUAAUUUCUGUUUUAGAUAUAUUUCAUAUCAUCUGAUUUUGUUUCAAGUUUUAAAUGUGUUUAUGGGUUUGCAUGAUGCAUGCAUUAUCUGUAUAUCUUUCUUUAGCUACAUGCUUGCUUGAGAGUUAUUAGAGGAUGAGUUUUGUCUCGUAUUUGCAAUGCGCCUAUGUUGUAAGAUACACUUUUAGGAUUAAUAAUUGGAUUAAGGUAGAUUUCCAAUAUAUAAAUCAUGUACCAAUUGCCAACUAUGACGACCUCUUAUCCUUUUGAACAUUCUCUCUACCUUAGCUAGCUAGCUAUGAACUUGAUGAUAUUGUAAUGAUGUCAAUCAAUUUAAUCAUUGAAUUACUACUUUUAUUUCAAAUUAUAGCUGCAAGCCAAUCUUAUCUUCUAUGUACUUAAGCUUUCAAUUUGCUUUGAGAACUAUUAAAUGUAAUGAACUAUGGUAUUGCCUUUGUUCCCUUAAUCUGUAUAUUGCCUUUGUUUCAUGUAUCUUCUCUGCAACCUAUUGGAGUCUAAGUAAGAAAUGGCUCAAUUAUUAUGUUUUAUCACAUGACAACUCAUAUUUAGAACAAAGAGGGUGUGGUUUUGGUGUAGUGAUAUUUGUAUCAUAAUUAAACUUGUGGUUGUGUGGUUUUGGUGUAGUAAGAUAUGAGGAGUGAUGAAGGAGCUACAUAAACUGUAGCGAGUUGCAUGAAGUACUGAGAUACAUGAAGGAGCUAUAUGGAGUGAUGAAAAAGCUAUAUGAAGGAGUGAUGAAGUAGCUUCAUACACUAUAUGUACAAAAGGGAAGAUGCUUUUAUCUGCACGUCUUCGAAAGAAUUCAAGUUUGUAUUUUGGAGUUUGAGGAUGUGUGUUAAUAUAUUCAAACAUAUUUCUUAGGUUUGUAAUGAAUGUAUUGGCUUUACCAAAUCGAUCUUAUAUGCAUUUGUUUUUAUUAA